rnacentral:rRNA from 1 species
GAGAUGAGUAUUCUAAGGCGCUUGAGAGAACUCAGGAGAAGGAACUCGGCAAAUUGACACCGUAACUUCGGAAGAAGGUGUGCCUUUAGUAGGUGAAGUCCCUCGCGGAUGGAGCCCAAUGAGGUUGCAAAAAAUCGGUGGCUGCGACUGUUUAAUAAAAACACAGCACUCUGCAAACACGAAAGUGGACGUAUAGGGUGUGACGCCUGCCCGGUGCUGGAAGGUUAAUUGAUGGGGUUAGCGCAAGCGAAGCUCUUGAUCGAAGCCCCAGUAAACGGCGGCCGUAACUAUAACGGUCCUAAGGUAGCGAAAUUCCUUGUCGGGUAAGUUCCGACCUGCACGAAUGGCGUAACGAUGGCCACACUGUCUCCUCCUGAGACUCAGCGAAGUUGAAAUGUUUGUGAUGAUGCAAUCUCCCCGCGGAAAGACGGAAAGACCCCAUGAACCUUUACUGUAGCUUUGUAUUGGACUUUGAACAGAUCUGUGUAGGAUAGGUGGGAGGCUUUGAAGCCGGGACGCUAGUCUCGGUGGAGCCAACGUUGAAAUACCACCCUGGUGUGUUUGAGGUUCUAACCUAGGUCCAUUAUCUGGAUCGGGGACAGUGCAUGGUAGGCAGUUUGACUGGGGCGGUCUCCUCCCAAAGUGUAACGGAGGAGUUCGAAGGUACGCUAGUUACGGUCGGACAUCGUGAUAAUAGUGCAAUGGCAUAAGCGUGCUUAACUGCGAGACUGACAAGUCGAGCAGAUGCGAAAGCAGGACAUAGUGAUCCGGUGGUUCUGUAUGGAAGGGCCAUCGCUCAACGGAUAAAAGGUACUCUGGGGAUAACAGGCUGAUACCGCCCAAGAGUUCAUAUCGACGGCGGUGUUUGGCACCUCGAUGUCGGCUCAUCUCAUCCUGGGGCUGUAGCCGGUCCCAAGGGUAUGGCUGUUCGCCAUUUAAAGAGGUACGUGAGCUGGGUUUAAAACGUCGUGAGACAGUUUGGUCCCUAUCUUCCGUGGGCGCUGCAGAUUUGAGGAAGCCUGCUCCUAGUACGAGAGGACCGGAGUGGACACACCUCUGGUGUAUCGGUUGUCACGCCAGUGGCAUUGCCGAGUAGCUAAGUGUGGAAGAGAUAACCGCUGAAAGCAUCUAAGCGGGAAACUCGUUUCAAGAUGAGAUCUGCCGGGGCCUUGAGCCCCCUAAAGAGUCGUUCAAGACCAGGACGUUGAUAGGUCAGGUGUGGAAGCGCAGUAAUGCGUUAAGCUAACUGAUACUAAUUGCUCGUGCGGCUUGACCCU